GUCGCUGCCUGCUCUGGUGGCGGUGAGAGAAAGUUGCUGUUAGAGAGAGAGAGAGAGAGAUGUCAAGAUUUCGAAGAUUGUUCCAAGCAUCUAUGGAUGCUACUAAGAGAGCUUUAUCCGGCAAUUUCGACGAUUUGAUGCCACCACCUGAAAGAUACAUAUUCAACUUCAAUUCCAAGAAAGAGUUAACAAAAUGGCAUUUGUAUUCCGAUUCUGAAUAUGGAGGUUUAUCUUCUGCAUCACUUCAGAUAAUUGAAUCUGAAAAUCAUACAACUACUGGAAUUUUUUCUGGGAAUCUUUCUCUUGAGGUUACUCAGGGUGCUAAAUGGAACAUUAGUAGAGGUGGAUUUUGUGGAAUGCGUUCUAAAAAGUUUGAUGGCUUCAUUGACUUGGAUUCAUAUGAUACUAUAGCUAUGAAAGUUAAAGGAGAUGGUAGAUGUUAUAUAUCUACUAUUUACACGGAGAAUUGGGUUAAUUCACCUGGACAGAUGGAGGAUAAUUCGUGGCAAUCAUUUGUGUAUGUGCCCAAAGACAACUGGUAUAUUGCAAAGGUUAGGAAGUAAACCAGGUCUUGCUGAGCACUGAUCUUUUACUACUUGAAACUGAGUAGACAACAUAUGAUAGAAUAAUUGUUGCUUGGUUUUUCUAUGAAUAUGAAAGUGAAGUGAUCGGUAUUAUUGACCCUUAUUAAGCACUGAAGUGGUGAUUCCUCUAGCUCGAUAUGUACCUACUUGGAGAGGGAAUGUUAUAGAUGCAGAAAUGGAAAUAAAUCCAUCUCGUGUUCUCGGCUUGUCUCUUUCUGUCAAUGCUGAGGGUGGUGUCCCAGGUGCUAGAUCUGGACCAGGUGAUUUCAGACUUGAAGUUGAUUGGAUUAAAGCAUUGAGAACACAAUGAAGUAUAGGUUGUUGCAGAUAAAUUUCAAGAGUUUUGCUCUUCUUUUAGGGUGAUUAAUUAUGACCCUGUUUUGUAAUAAUGAUGUAUGUAUCUAUUUGUGAUUCAUAAAGGAAAAAUUUAUUGGUAGUUAUUCCAUUGUCAUUGCUCUUAGAUUUUAUGACUGCUAGGAUGACUAAUAUUUACAUGUAAGCAUUUUGCAAUAAGAGUCAAGAUUGAUCAUCAAAUUUAAAUUA